GACGAACGCUGGCGGCGUGCUUAACACAUGCAAGUCGAACGGAAAGGCCCUGCUUGCAGGGUACUCGAGUGGCGAACGGGUGAGUAACACGUGGGUGAUCUGCCCUGCACUUCGGGAUAAGCUUGGGAAACUGGGUCUAAUACCGGAUAGGAGCCAUCUUUAGUGUGGUGGUUGGAAAGUUUUUUCGGUGUAGGAUGAGCUCGCGGCCUAUCAGCUUGUUGGUGGGGUAAUGGCCUACCAAGGCGGCGACGGGUAGCCGGCCUGAGAGGGUGUACGGCCACAUUGGGACUGGGAUACGGCCCAGACUCCUACGGGAGGCAGCGGUGGGGAAUAUUGCACAAUGGGCGCAAGCCUGAUGCAGCGACGCCGCGUGGGGGAUGAAGGCCUUCGGGUUGAAAACUCCUUUCGCUAGGGACGAAGCUUUUUUGUGACGGUACCUAGAUAAGAAGCACCGUCUAACUACGU
rnacentral:rRNA from 1 species